rnacentral:rRNA from 1 species
AUGUCGAAGCCUGCUGCACAUCGGCACCAAAAACAGGAAAACAGAGAAGCCUCAGGGAUCAACCAAAGGCCUAAGACCCCAAUCCUCUCGCCUAGGCUCGAAGGCGCCGAACCGUCGGGCCGUUGGGCGCUCACCCGAGAGCACGGACAUGUGUCGGUCGUAACCCAGAACCGGCAUAGCUCACGGUUCUCACCACGCUGUAGGCUCACACCACUAGCUGCACUACCACCCGCCCGGGCAACCGAGAACAGCAGGAAUGCCGCUGGGAGGAUUAUCGAAGAAACCAGCUACAAAGACCCUAGGGUGAAGCUUGGAGAAGCCUCUGAUUGGACUCGCAGCCGACGGGCGCUCUCCUACCACGGCCCAAAGUUGCAGAGCGGACAGCCGGAGGGAAGGAGUGGGCAGAGGAGAAGAAAACAGCCCGACCUUCAGAUCUGGAUCGGAAGAAAUCCGCGCCAUGACCACCACCCGCCGGCUCCACGCCGCUCGAGCAGCCGAGAAGGCCGACUGCCACAUCCCGCGCACGCCGCCUGCCGCAGAGGCCGCGCCGCCUCGCCGACCGGGGCCGUCGCCCCGGAGUCCGUGGUCCCUUGCAAGGGGAAUGAAGCGACGAGAGACCUCGCCGCCACCUUCAUCGGCGGCCGCUGCGACUUGACUGGCGUCCCACAGGUGGCGGCAAGGGGAGCAGGUGCUGGGGGUGGGGGCGCCGGGGGAAACCCUAGUCGCACGCGGAGGACGACAUGGGAGCCACGCGGGGGGGGGGGGCCUAUAACUUAUGCUGGGGACAAAAAAUAUACUUAUCCCUUUUCAAACGCCACCGGAAUACAAGUCGCCGGCCGGGUGGGUGCGCGCGAGGCUGGGCGAGACCCGUCCAGGUCCAGCGGGCAUCAGUCAGAUCGCGCAUCCCGUAGCUUCUUCCCAAGUUGCAAGACCAUGGUGCGGGCGCCCUCGCCUUCUUCUCUUCUCUACGCUCCCCUGCUCGUCGUGACCGCGCUGGUCGGGCAGUACCCGACGGGCUCGCUGCGGGUGGCGACGGCGCAGACCGUGGCGGCGCCGGUGCCCGUGCGCGUCGGGGUGAUCAUGGACUGGUCGACCAAGGCGUCGUCGGCGGUGUCGCUGAGGCGGCGGACCGGCAUUCAGAUGGCGGUGGAGGACUACUACGCGGCGCACCCGGAGUCGGCCGCGCGGGUGGAGCUCCGCUUCAGCGACUCCAAAGGGGAGGUCGUGGCGCCGCCUCCGCCGUGGGACUGGGCGCCAAGCACCCGUAAAGCUCAGUUGAUGUACACGUCUGCAGCAUGUCUGUUACUUGAUCGGUAUCCUAGCCAGACACCUACAGCUUCUUGCUCCAGCUCUGUUAUUGUGGGGGUUGAUCUUCAUCGUGGGGGCUGCGGGAUAAGCUUUGUUAUUGUGGAGAGUCGAGACACCUACAGCUUCUUCCUCCAGCUCCAUGCCAUUGCCAUGCAUGCACGUCGCCUUCUCCACCGCGUGUACGUGCUAGCCCGCGAGCUGCUUAGCCCCGUACCCCGAGUAGCACCAAAUGUUAGCGUGGGCACGACAACGUACGACAGAGAUGCCUCUCAGAUCUUACUAUACCACUAUCCAUUCCAACUCUUUGAUUGCACCCUCAUGCAUCGGAUCCAAGUUUCAACUGGUGUGACAGCAAUCAUGUGGACGCAUGUGCAUCAUCCAACGAGUCACCAGAGUGGAAUGCUAGCUCCAGUCGUCCAGUAUUUAGGCCCUGUUCGGAUCUGCUCCACUCCGCAACUCCACUCCCGGAGCUGCCGGAGCGGCGCCGAACGCCACAGCUCCGUGGAGUCAGAGGAGUGGAGUCUGGCGGAGUGGCAAAAGCUGAGCUCCGCGUGUGACUCCCGCAACUGA